GAUGUGGUUAAUGAUGCAUCUUCUUUCCCUGUCUUAUCGACCAUGUUGAAAGCCAAGGUCUACAUUUAGCCAAAUGUCUGAAACCACAUC
ensembl:snoRNA small nucleolar SNORD12/SNORD106